rnacentral:rRNA from 1 species
GGGCAUGCGGCGUGCUAUACAUGCAAGUCGAGCGGACAGAUGGGAGCUUGCUCCCUGAUGUUAGCGGCGGACGGGUGAGUAACACGUGGGUAACCUGCCUGUAAGACUGGGAUAACUCCGGGAAACCGGGGCUAAUACCGGAUGGUUGUCUGAACCGCAUGGUUCAGACAUAAAAGGUGGCUUCGGCUACCACUUACAGAUGGACCCGCGGCGCAUUAGCUAGUUGGUGAGGUAACGGCUCACCAAGGCGACGAUGCGUAGCCGACCUGAGAGGGUGAUCGGCCACACUGGGACUGAGACACGGCCCAGACUCCUACGGGAGGCAGCAGUAGGGAAUCUUCCGCAAUGGACGAAAGUCUGACGGAGCAACGCCGCGUGAGUGAUGAAGGUUUUCGGAUCGUAAAGCUCUGUUGUUAGGGAAGAACAAGUGCCGUUCAAAUAGGGCGGCACCUUGACGGUACCUAACCAGAAAGCCACGGCUAACUACGUGCCAGCAGCCGCGGUAAUACGUAGGUGGCAAGCGUUGUCCGGAAUUAUUGGGCGUAAAGGGCUCGCAGGCGGUUUCUUAAGUCUGAUGUGAAAGCCCCCGGCUCAACCGGGGAGGGUCAUUGGAAACUGGGGAACUUGAGUGCAGAAGAGGAGAGUGGAAUUCCACGUGUAGCGGUGAAAUGCGUAGAGAUGUGGAGGAACACCAGUGGCGAAGGCGACUCUCUGGUCUGUAACUGACGCUGAGGAGCGAAAGCGUGGGGAGCGAACAGGAUUAGAUACCCUGGUAGUCCACGCCGUAAACGAUGAGUGCU